AUGUGCUCACCAUGUACGUUACUGAUAAUAAUGGCCUUGCUGCCUGGAACGAAUAGCGCGGAUUUAGUGUCCCAGGAUCCCUCUGAAUUAACGAUUCUGGAAGGACAGCGCAUAAAACUGAACUGCAGUUACUCGACAACCUACAGUUCCCCAACUCUGUUCUGGUACGUCCAGUAUCGCGGGGAAGCUCCGAAAUACUUGCUGAAGAUAUAUAGCUCGAGGGAUGAAGAAAGGUCUCCAAACUUACCAGCCAGGUUCUCUGCUGAUUUGCACAAAGGAAACAAAACGGUUCCUUUAACUAUCGCCGGGUCUUUUCUGUCCGACAGCGCCGUGUAUUUCUGUGCCAUGGAGCCCACACUGCUGCAGAGAUAUAGCGGAUCCAGUACAAAAACCCCACUGGGAGUUCCAUUUAGCGCCCACAAGAGGGCGCUCCCACACUGA